rnacentral:rRNA from 1 species
GACGAACGCUGGCGGCGUGCUUAACACAUGCAAGUCGAACGAAGAGCGAUGGAAGCUUGCUUCUAUCAAUCUUAGUGGCGAACGGGUGAGUAACGCGUAAUCAACCUGCCCUUCAGAGGGGGACAACAGUUGGAAACGACUGCUAAUACCGCAUACGAUCCAAUCUCGGCAUCGAGACUGGAUGAAAGGUGGCCUCUAUUUAUAAGCUAUCACUGAAGGAGGGGAUUGCGUCUGAUUAGCUAGUUGGAGGGGUAACGGCCCACCAAGGCGAUGAUCAGUAGCCGGUCUGAGAGGAUGAACGGCCACAUUGGGACUGAGACACGGCCCAGACUCCUACGGGAGGCAGCAGUGGGGAAUCUUCCGCAAUGGACGAAAGUCUGACGGAGCAACGCCGCGUGAGUGAUGACGGCCUUCGGGUUGUAAAGCUCUGUUAAUCGAGACGAAUGGUUCUUGUG